AAAAACAAACACAUAAAACUAGUGGGUUGGACACAUAUGAUCUACGUCAUGAGAAAGUCCCAUGUAUCCUUGGGCAGCAAUUCUGGAUUAAGGAAACCACUGAAAUGGCAAAUUCCAACUACUUCUUACAGCAUAGCAGGUAGAAUUGUUAUUCUCUCCUGUUACUUCCUGAUCUUUGAACUCGGUUCCUCAUUCCUCUGCACUGUUUCUCAGUGUGGCCCAGGGCUGACACAUACCUCAACUGGACACACAGUCCUACUUGCAGAUGGGGCUUAGGUUAAACACUCGGCUUUGUGGCAUUUCUGUGCUAAUCUCUGAAGGCUUUUGGAUACACCCUUCUGAGGCAAUGCACUUCUAGAAACCCUGCUUAGCCAGACAGAAGUUGGGCUUCCCUGGGGUUAAAUCCCAAGACAAUUUCAGUGGUGGUUAAAUUAGAUGUAGGCAGGUGGAAGUGUACACCACUUCAAAAUGUAACUCCAUUGCCUCUUGGUUUUACUAAUGCCUCAAAGAAGGGCUGGCUUACUCUAACUGCAGUGUAAUGUCUAAGUAGAAAAAGAGAUGUUUGGAAAAAUCAUUCAUUUAUUACAUUUUUCAGAAUAAAGCAAUUGCAUCUUCCUUAGCAGAGAAUGCAAAGAAAGCUGUAAAUAACAUAGCUGUUCAUUGGCAACUAGAAAAAAAAAAAAAAAGUCAAAUUCAAAGCUUGCCACUUCUAUUCACAGUGAAUGACUUCAGAGUCAAAAGAAUAACAGGGUGUGUACAGCCUGAAGAGAAUAUUGCUGGUAAAAUUCUAAGGAUGCCUCUUAAAAUGGGCAAUUGCUCACCAUGUCAGCUGGAAUAAAGUUUGUCACAUUGCAUGUCUAGAUGCAAUAUGGUGAUAUAUGCAAUUUCAGUCACUCUUUCCAAAUUGUGGGCUUUAUCUGAAAUGCUCUCAUACCCUGAACUGUCUGCAUUUUCAUUAAAAGAAUGAAUGUUCCUGUCAUCAUCUUGGUAGGAAUACCAACAGGAAAUAAGCUACCUCUAAAUGAAAAGAUGCAUUUUAUUAUUUGUGAAACCAAGGAAAUAUUACUCAAACAUACAACUUGGCUAGCAGAUGGUUUGUUUGGAGUAUGGAAUUAGUGCUUUUGCAGGAGUCUGACAAAUAGCCUGGGGUUUCUGACAACGCACUGGCAUGCCAGUGGCUGCGUGAUCUUACAGACAGCAUUAAUUUCUCUGUGCAUCAGUUUCUUCAUCAGUAAAACUGCAAUAAUCAUUUUCUGCUGGAGUUUCCAACUAAUAGGCUUGUUAUGCCCUGCAAAGCACUCAGAGAUCUCUGUCUGGAACAAACUACAGAACUGCAAAGUAUUAUUGCUAUUAGAAGUCCAUUACAGCUCUGUUUUGCUUUGUUCAUACUGGCCCUUUGGUACGUGCAGCUAGACAGCUCCCAAUGUUAUCUUGAUGCACAAAGCACUUUUUGUGUGAGGUUUGACUCACACUAAAAUGCCAGUUAGAAUUUUUUCCUCAGGAACUCACUGGAGCUUGGCUUACAGAAUCUGAAAAUUAAAUCAACCAAAAUAGGUCAAACACAAAACUAUAUGUCCUUAUGUGUCCCCUUGUCCUCUUUUAGCAGCUUUUAGCAGCACAGCGCAGUUGUUUUCUUGUUGCUUGGGCCUGUUUCAUUCUUCAGCCGGUUUUGGUAACUACAUCUUGGUUACGUUUUGAAUACCUGCUCUUGAGAGUUUUCUGUUCCUAUUAAAUAUAGUUUAGAAGGACACACUCAUCUGUUAGUGGUCCAGAAAUAACGUGCCGCAUGCACCAGCAGCUGAUGCGACUGAACGCGAUACGAAAGUGUAUCAUUCUGUUACAGUUUGUUGGUAGACAUCAGUAUGGAGAUAUUUUUGUACCUUAAAAAAAGGAAUAGUGUAUCGGAAAUUGAAUCAAACGUUAACAGAAGGUGCAGUUUGUGGUUUACUUUUCCUUCAUAGCUAGUUCUUUAGGGGAAUUAUUUCUGUUCACAUAAUCCUUUAAGCUAAUGUAUUUAUUUUAUACGUGGUUUAUAACUUCAUUCGUAUGUCAAGUAGCUGAAGGUGCUGUUUAAAUUAGUAUUUACUUCAGUAUUAUACCUUUUUGAAUUGGUUGUUCAUUACAGUCAUAAUGCAGUGAAUAAAUGUGUUAAUAUUUGAAGUGGGAAGGGAGGUAAAAAGGGAAACUGUCUGCUCCAGUCAGGGCCCAGCUUUCUGGUUACAACAUAUUAUAAUUUAUUUAAACUCAAUCAAUACUUAAUCUGGAGUUUAAAUUCUGCUAAAGAUCUGUGGCAUAGCUAAAAGCAGCUGAUGCCAAAGAAAAAAAAAUUUCUUCAGGCUGUGAUUCUGAUGUAUUUAUAAUGCGCUGUAAGGGUGAUGCAUUGACCUAAAUUCACAGAAGCUCUGCAAUUCGUACUUAUUAUUGUGAAAGGUGUCCUACCAACACUUUUCUUCUGAAUGUUGCGAGCCUGUGCAGGAAAGAUGACUGGCUGCAGAGGAAGGACUGCAUGCACUGCCUGGGUCUCUCCGCAUCCCCAGGGAAGGGUGGGAUGGGACAGAGCACAGCCUGAGCCCUGCCGGCCCCACGCCACAGACCAGGCGGUGGCUCACUGUAACCCUGAGAUUCAAGGCAAGAAUUAAUUCAGCACUGCAAAAAUCUGGCAACUGUUUGAAGCCAGUAGUGAGGGCAGACUUCCUGAGAGGUGUGUGUUUGCGGUGACAAUUUGGAUUUAUUUUGCUGGCAAUGUGAAAGACAUUGUUAUGGCAGGAAGAAGACAGUUGUGUUGAAAACUGCUUCUCCUUUUUAGUUUUUUUUUCCCCUUAAGCUUUUCUGGGGAAUAGAUUUCCAUCUCUGCAGGGUUUGGUUUUCUCUGUACAGCUCUUUAAACUCCCCCAAGCACAGCCAUCUCAGGGCAGGGCCCACGGGCAGCUCCUACCAGCACUGCGGGGAUGCUUACACACCAUUUUCUUGUUAGACCAGGCAACUUCAUAUUUCCCAGCACAUUUUGGCAAGCUUUUUCUCAGAGUUGUCCAACAGCUUUUCGUAGUAAGUGAAUGACUUCCCAGUGACCUGAACCCUCUUCCAAGCCUCCUUUUUCACCCUGACAGCUCACAUUCAUGCUUUUCUGAUUUUGUGCAAAGCUAUACGUUUUACCAGAUUUAUAACUGCAGGAGACUUUUCUAAAAAUUAAAAAAAAUUAACUGAAUGAAUAAUGGAAAUGUACUGUGAAUAAAGGCUGACAAUCAUCCCCCUUCUUUCAUGAUACGAUAUGCUGUCCUCAUGAAAAGGGAGAAGACCUCCAUUCUCCCUCCUAAUUGAUACAUGAAUACUUGUCAGAUGUGGAUUUCCUAGGCAGCCUGCAAGGCAGGACUCACCCCCGCACCGUUCAUCCCCAGUCCCUGUGUGCUUUUGGGGCAUCACAUCAGACACUCUCCCAGCUUGUGUCUUCUUGCUCUGUUUUGUGCCCACCUCUGCUCAUAUUGCUACUGUAGUCAAAUUCUUGUUGUGGUUUAUGCCAGAAUAAAUAUCAACUAGCAUAAAUCUGCAGGCUUAGAAGGCAUUAGCCUGCCUUUACUGUAGCACAAUCAACAGCUGUACCUGGCACCACAGCCUCAUUCCACCCCAGAGUGGCAGCAUCCAGAGCCUUGCUGCGUUGGAGGAGCAGAGCCAGCCAUGCUUGCUGAGGUUUGUUCCUCUGGGCUGGCCCUGAGGAUGUUCUCAUCCUCAGCAUGCAAACACAGCUUCUCAGCAGGAGCGACUAUUAGUUCCAGCUUUAACCUUUACUUAAAAAUAUGAAGGUGCUGAACAAAAAUGCAAGAAUUUUGUGUUCAAACUCAUGGCUAACUCAGAGAGCUGGGCUCCUAGAACCAACUGUGAAUAUCAGUCUAGCAGCAAGAAAGUUUAUGUUCAACUUCAGUUUUUCUUCUAGCUACAAUGCUCAAAGGGAGUACUUCUGUAUUCAGAUACAGGAGUUAUGAUAUAUUUACCUGCCGAAAAAGUGGAUUGGAGUUCUUGUGCCCUUCCUGCCCCCCAACAUGGCAGCUUGGAACUGUAUCAACACAGCUACAGAUCAUGAGUGACCACUGGCAGAGUCAUAUACAAAACCUGCAGUUAAUAUCUGGAAAAAUAAGUUUAAAAACUGAGGAAGAUAACGAGAAGUUCCAAAAAAAAACUAAAGCUGUAUCUCAAUCCUUAUCAUAAUGGUCUAACCAAAUCUCCCCAACAUAUCUUUAAUGUUUAUGUUUCGUGUAAGGACUAUUUUUCUUUUCUUUUCUUUUCUUUUUUUUUUAGAAGUUUUAUUAGAGUUCAUGAUCUGUCUUGCUUUUUGUUAGGGAGAUGGAAAAAAAAACGAAAACCCACCAUUCAUCAUAAUUCUUUGGUAUUGCUAUUAUGGCCAGGAGAAAAGAGGGCUUCUGCUAGUUCGUGUACAAGUCAAAAGCAAGGCAUAUUCCUUUCCCCACAAGAUCCCAAGAAGAAGAGUUGGUGGAUGGAUAAGAUAAAAAUGGGUAUCAAUUGUGAGAGAUGGGCUGACAAAAAAAAAAAGUGUGCAUAGUUUUUUGACUAAUCUAGAAUAGUAAUUGUACUUUGCUUACAUGUCUGAUUAUGUUUAGGUGCCAAUUUUCUUUCCAUGUAACAAAAGAGGUGACUUUCAUGAGAAUAAUCUGAAGGAGGUUGUGGUGGGUGACUGGUUUUUUGUUUUUUGGUUUUUGGGGUUGUUUUUUUUUGUUUGUUUUGUUUUGUUUUUUAAUGUGGAAUUUUUUUACCAGGUCGACAGACCAAUUUCUCUCCAUUGUUCACAAAGCUAUACAGUAUUUUUUUUUCCUUCCCACUGUGCCUUGAAAAAAACUUUCUGGCUUCAGUUCAUGUGUGAAACCUUUUGCACAACAAAAGUGGUUUCUUGUGGCCAGUAAGACUAAAUGUUCUGAGCAUUCCAGGAAGCAUAUAAAUAGACUGAUACUCUUCCUAAGGUUAUGUCCCUUUUUUCUUUAUUUCUCUUCCUGUCUUACUCCCCUACCUUCAGUUAUGCUCUCUACAUCUAGGCAAAGAUCAGAGUGCAGUGUUUGAAAAUCCUGACUAUCAUUUUCCAUUUUACUUGGGUUUGCCUUAGUUACAUUUCUGAAUAGAAAUUGUUCAAGUAAAUGCAGCACAGUAAAUUAUCUUAAAUUACUUCUUACAGUCCAGACUAGUAUUAUAACAUGAAAAUUGUUACUUGGAGUCUCCCACGCCCCUGGCUGCUGCAGACCUAUGUCUCCAGGCUGGGGAGAAAUGGAUCAUAGUACUUCCCCAGCAGAGCCUGCAGGCCAAUCCACCACAUGGAAAGUGGAGUUCGCAUAAAAGAGGUCUCUUAUCCCUUCCUCUCAAUCCUGCUAGAUACAGCAAAGCUGUCACAAUGGUCAAAUAUAAUUAAAAUGGUGAUCCACCACUGAAGAGUAGGCCAAUGUCUAUGCAGAAACCAGAUGAGAAAUUAUUCAAGCCAAAAACAUGAAAUCUCAGCUCAUCUGUGGUUACCAUAAAAAAAGCCAUUCUGUCUCUUUGAUCUGUGAUGAAUUUGAAUGUGUGUUAAUAAGACAUAUAUGUUGGGCAUCAGCAUCGUCUUCUGUUGAACGAAGGUAAACAUUGCAUUCGUCUCUGUAAAACAUACUUCAGUAGUUGGGAAGAAAAGUGGAGAUUCAUUAUUUUUGCAGUUGUAGAAGACAUUCAGCAGCUGUGUUUAUACUGGCAGACAAUUUGGAUAUUAGGUGGCAGGACAGAGAACUGCAGAUGCACAAUAUCGUGCAGACAUUGUGCACUUACAGCACAUUUUCAGGGAAACAUGUUAUUUUAUAUUUCCCUUGGUGUCAUUAAUCACGUUUCAUAAUGUAUCUCACUAUUUCAAAUCAUUCCCCUAGAUUCAUUCAUUUUUUGGCUUGUUUAUAUAAUAGUUAUUGAGCUCCAUUUCAACAAAUUCCAUCUUAACUACAGAUAUCAAAGUUCCUUUUGCUUCAGGGGAGAAAAUUAAGAUGGCCCUGUACUGAUUUCAGAGACUACCUGUAAUAAUCAGCAUGUCUGCUAUAUAAGAAAGAUAUUUUGUUUGCCUUUGGUCAGAAAAAUGUUCAUGCUGUUCUUUGCAAGUUAAAAAUUAAACUUAUUUCCUGAAAGUAAAAAUACGGUUCUUAUCUUGAACUAUGAAGGAAAACAGCUGCACUUUACUCUGUUCUUGAAGUUCUCCAAUCCCUCUGGAGGCUUUGUUUAGGUUUUACAGGUGAAUCCCUUUAACUGCAGCAGUGAUGAUGGCUCAUCCUUGGCAGAAACGUGCUGAGAAGCAGUUGGGAAUCCCCUGCUUGGGAGCUGCAGCCUGAGGAACUUCAGCGUGUAAGAAGUUUGUAAGGAGUGCCUUUAAGGACUCUUCUUAAAGGAAUUCUAAAAAGGGAAACUCAGGAAUGCCUACCUGACUGUCCCAGAGAAUUGCCAUCCAAAGGAGCAGCCUACAGCAGCACAAGCAUUUCAUCUUCUGGAUUUGUAGAGAUGUGGGAUUUGUUGAUGCUGAAGGGAGGAGGAAGUCGAGAGAGAAAAAAAAAAUUCUGGGAGUGUUUAAACUGUCUCCCAGUAGAUCUGUGUAUGGCAGAGAAAGGAUCCCUAUGACGUUUCACACAACUAGAAGUGAAGGUUUUAAUUCAGCUUUCACAAUAUAUGAUUUCAGCAUUCAAAUACUUCCACAUACAAGCCAGAACCACUAUAUGCUACCACCAUUCCAAGUAAAGUGUAGAAUUGCUGUUAUAUCUGCAUGUCUGGGAGGUGGCAUGCUAGUGACCUGAUGUAUGUGUUAUCCAGCAUACGGAUUUUCCAGAGUGAUCUCCAAAUUGUAAUGGACAACCUCUUUCCUGCCAGCAGAGCCCAGAGAGGAAUAAACCAAGACCACCAGCUAAGUCACUGCGUAAUGUGCUAUGGAUAUGAGCAUUGAAUGCCCUCAGUGGCAAUGACUCAGGACCAAGUCGACCUUUUGCAGGAAUUACCUGCAAAGGAAACUGGGAACUCCACGGCAUCUGUCAUCCUUCCCUCCAGAUGGUGCCUCCAAAUCUCUUCUGAAAUGGUGUGUGCAGAGCAGACACAGAGUGCCUAUCACUCAGCCCUCUGGUGGCCCUCCGGGACAGAGAGAACACAAAAUCAGAAAUAAGGACUUGCAAACUGGCUGAAGAUGCCCAGAGAGUCGUGUAUCUGACAGCCAGAGAGAGACAGAUGAUCCCUUUACCACUGAACUGCUGUGGCUUGAUUGUGUGAAACUGAAUUUCAAGACGCAAGAUACUGUUCAGAUAGUUCUGCAAUAUAUUCCUCAGAUCCAGCAGCUUUGGCAGGAGAGAGCCCAUGGGUGAUGGAAUAACCAGAUCUCUGCGUCCAUCCCAUGAAAAACAGACCCUUUCUUCUGGAUUCCACAGGAUUCUCCCAGCAGCCAGCCUUGUUUACAGAAGUCAGCAGGAAUAGUAACAGCUCUUCACAAACGAGCCAUGGAGAAACCUUUUGGGAAGGCACCUCACAGUGCUUUGUCAUCUGCUGACAAACUGGUGCCAGGACCAGAACUUCAUAAUAAAGUCUUCAGAGAAAAUUUUGCAGCAGAUCAAGGAAUCUCAAAGUGCUCAUGCAACGUGAUUUCUACAUUAAACGAGCUCUUAAGUGAAAGCGUUCUCAGCUUUCAAGUUUGGGUUUAAAAAUCCAGCACGGAACGGAUGAAGUGGAAUGUUUGUUCUGGACCGCGCGUUGACAAAGGGGAGGAAACCCCUCGCUGUGGGAUGGCAGCCGCGGGUCAGAGGCGUGUAAGCAGCCGUUACCGCCAUCCAGAGGAGAGCAGCCAUCAGCCGUCAGAUUUCAUUUUGUUGUGUGCGUGGAAAGGAGAACCCAACCGGCUGGUCUGGUUCGUGCUGAGACAUCCCAGAGGAGAAAAACAACAUCCAAAAUGACAACCGGUUUCAUACGGCCUGUUUUUUAAACUUGAAGUCCAAACAAAAGCAAUCUUUUGGUAGAGAUCUGCGUUAGAAGCUGGCAGGAGCACUACUGAGAUGUAAGGAGGUAAACUCAGGCUUAAAGUGAGAGGAUCCCUCGCAUCACUAGUUUCAACUAGAGGAUAUGUGUGUGCUAUGAGAAUAUUCAAUAUGAAAAACGUGGUGCAAAACAGAGGCAACCAAUUGGAGCAGUGCUUCAGACUAAGCUGAGCUGCACUCACAGGAGCAGAGCUGGCAAGGACUGCUAGGUUCAGCCACCCAGCACAGUGCCAGUCUGCGCUGUUGUGAAAGACCUGUGAAUAAAUAUUCAUAGGGAUGAAUUCAGAGGUGAUGGGCAGCACAGACCGAGGAAAAGGAGCCCAGAGUCUGUGCUGAGGUAAAUCAUGAAAAGAGGAAACAGAAGAGGAAAAGCAGCUAAGUGAAAGCAUGUAACAAAGCUCAAUGUGAGUGUAAGUCUGUCCAGCCUCUGGAGCAGCUAGGAGAAAAGCUUUCAUGCCCCACAGCUGGGAGCUCACCCACAGACCUUCUUCUCUACACACAGCAGCAAUGGGCCAGGCAACUUCAGUGGGCUCAUAUGUAUGCACACACUUACCUUCCUGUAAUACCCAAACAUUAAGAAGACAGAUCUACAGCUGAUCCAUUUGAGGCAUGCAUGUAUUGGGUUUGUAUUGCACUUACUGAGUAAACUUGAAAUGUGGAGGAGCCCAAAUCUCUAUUCUGGACAGUUUGAGGUUGUUUGGAUCUGACAUUUCUGUGUGUUCACUGACAGAAAUAAGCUCAUUAUGAAGUUGUGUUGGAAGAUGGAUGCCCUUUUUCCAAGUUUUGAGAAGUGUCUAGGCAGAGUAAUUGGACUGCAUUAGAUAAAUCAAGUGAAUGUGAAAAAUCUUCAUUAGAAGGGAAGAAAUAUGUGGUUUUAAGUGCUAAGACAAUUCCACAUAACAUUAGAGUUUGCAUCUACACUCACAGUACGCAGAGAGAUUCAUGCAGAUGUCCAAAAAUUGAAAAGGCUUUAAAUGUAUUUUAUCUAAUUGUUUGUUGAACAGUAUUUACCUUUUGCCUUCCACAGGUUGUUUUGAAAUCUGAAUGUGUAAUAACAUCUCUGAAUGUUUUAAUUUAAGCUAAUGUGCUAUUCCUUUAUGCAAAAAGUAAAGGUAUUUUGAAACUCUUUGCGGAA